AAUCCCAGGUUUUCUAACUAUGACUGGCGUCUGUUUUUAGGACAAUGGAGGUUGCCAUCAUAACUGCACCAAUACUCCUGGUUCGUUUCAAUGUACUUGCCAUCCAACGUACAAGCUACAGAUAGACAGAAAAACUUGUGGUCAUUGCCCCACGUGUGAUGAUUUUGAGGCCUUGUUAGUGACCGUUGAAGACCUAAAAAA